UCCAUGGAGCGGGUGCGGAACGGAUAUGGGGAUAAAAUGCGUCAUUUAAAUGAAUUUUAUCCCCAUAUCCGUUCCGCACCCGCUCCAUGGA